GAGGGUAGGAGGAUGUACCUCAAGUUCUUUCUCCAACUGGGCCCGAAGCUCCUCCAUCCCCGUGGGCAGCACUAGCCGGGAGGGCAGAGAGGUGGAGCGUCUCAACAGCAUGGGAUUGGCACCGUUGAGGAACUGGCCCUCACCAUUUACCACCAUUCUUGGAUCUCCCAGGCCUGUUCCACUCUGAGCUCCAGGCAUUUUCUCACCCUGCCUUCAUUGUCCAUUCAAAGUCCCGUCUCUUCUCCUCGUGGAAUCUCAUAUUUGGAGCUUUCAGGCGCUCCCUCCCAAGUCCCCGCCCCAGACUAGUCCGAACCUGCGAGCCGCAGAGCAGGCUGUGGGCAAGGGCCGUGCCUCCCCGUCGGAGCGUAGCUGCGGGAAGAUUAAAGGGGCCCUGGCCUGGGCGAGGAGGAAAGGAUGGAUGCGCUGGACUUCUCUGGAUCUCCGGGGUGGUGUCUUGGGCCCUUUGGACAAAUUUACCUCCUCGUCGUCCACCAACUCUGCAUACCAAACGAGUAUUGGGCUGGCAGUGGGAAAGGGGAGGGUGUGACAGGGAAGAGAGAGCCUUUGUGGGACCUCAAAAGGAUGCUGGAGAGGUGACAUUCAAGGCUCAGGGAAGAGUCAGAGUUUGCUCCCAGGGAGCUAUGUGUCCCUUCAGAGAGAAAAAAACUGGCAGAUGCUUGUCCCUUUGCUGCCCGUGCUCCUCUUCCUCCCAUCUCUGCUGUUCCCAUCCUAGCAGGUAUGCCCAAGUCAAGCCCGAAGAGACUGCUCAGCUUUCUGUAGAAUCAUGGAAGCAUCUACAAUCAUGAAUACACUCCUAGGAGUGGUUGGUUUUGGUUGUUUAAAAAAUCUGUGCUGCACUAUAUACAUUUGCAGCUUGCUUUUCUCACUUAAGAAAUGUAUCUCAUGGAAAUCUCUGUAGUUCAAUGGUUAUACAGUAGUGCCCCCUUAUCCGCGGUUUCGCUUUCGUGGUUUCAGUUACCUGCGGUCAACCAUGGUCCGAAAAUAUUAAAUGGAAAAUUCCAAAAAUAAACAAUUUAUAAUUUUUAAAUUG